GCGUGCUGAAGUGAGCUGCGGAGCUGCUGCGCUGGGCGACUCAAACCUGUGGUCACCAAUCUGGAAGAAGUUCAGGCUCCUGAGUCCACUGAGAUGGCGUCAACAGGGACUGUAGCUCAAGAGGAACCAGGACUCAAUUCCAUCUAGAAGGAAAGAGGCAGCCCUGAGGGAGGUGCUCCCUGCCUCCCGCUCUGGGCUUGCU
rnacentral:lncRNA from 13 species